rnacentral:tRNA from 1 species
AGGGAUGUAGCUCAAAGGCAGAGCAUUCGGCUUUUAACCGACAGGCAAGGGUUCAACUCCCUUCAUCCCUACCA